GACGAACGCUGGCGGCGUGCCUAAUACAUGCAAGUAGAACGCUGAAGGAGGAGCUUGCUUCUCUGGAUGAGUUGCGAACGGGUGAGUAACGCGUAGGUAACCUGCCUGGUAGCGGGGAUAACUAUUGGAAACGAUAGCUAAUACCGCAUAAGAGUAGAUGUUGCAUGACAUUUGCUUAAAAGGUGCAAUUGCAUCACUACCAGAUGGACCUGCGUUGUAUUAGCUAGUUGGUGGGGUAACGGCUCACCAAGGCGACGAUACAUAGCCGACCUGAGAGGGUGAUCGGCCACACUGGGACUGAGACACGGCCCAGACUCCUACGGGAGGCAGCAGUAGGGAAUCUUCGGCAAUGGACGGAAGUCUGACCGAGCAACGCCGCGUGAGUGAAGAAGGUUUUCGGAUCGUAAAGCUCUGUUGUAAGAGAAGAACGAGUGUGAGAGUGGAAAGUUCACACUGUGACGGUAUCUUACCAGAAAGGGACGGCUAACUACGUGCCAGCCGCCGCGGUAA
rnacentral:rRNA from 1 species